rnacentral:lncRNA from 1 species
GUUUUGAUUGGAUGGUCUUUUCAUGUAGAGGGGACGUCUCAAGUCGAAGUCACGAUUUCUGCUCAGUUUGGAACCAUCUGUGACUGGAGCCAUGACGCAGCCAGAGCACAUUACUCACUUUUACAGUCACGACUUGGAAAUCCGUGCAGUUUCCAACCAAAAUUACACCGCCACCAUUGAAUUAUUUAAUAGGAUCCAGUUAAGGGAUCCGCAACUGUCGCUGGGCUUGGAGUGGAUUUGAAACAUCUUCUGAAUAAACCAGGAAGGCGCUGCCUUUUCCA